rnacentral:lncRNA from 1 species
GACAGAGUCUCGCUCCGUCACCCAGGCUGGAGUGCAGUGGUGUGAUCUCGGCUCACUGCAAGCUCCGCCUCCUGGGUUGCCAUUCUCCUGCCUCAGCCUCCUGAGUAGCUGGGACUACAGGCACCCGCCACCAUAACCAGACAGUGAUUCUCCAGUCAUUUCAGAAGAGGAUAGAAGACCUCCUCCAAGGCAAGGAAGAAGGACAGAGACCUUCAGAAGAAGAUAGAAAACCUCUCUAAGGCAAGGAGGCCUUGGACCUGUCUUCUGGGCCUCCUCGGACUUCCAGUCCAUGCGGUGCUCAUUGAAACCUCAUGUGUCUGAUAAGCUGAUGCCCAUGAUCAUGAGCUGUGGUGUUUCCAUGGAACACACAUGGGUACCUAUCUUCCUAGAUGUAGGAUCCAACUGUUUCUUUGGGAUGAAGCCAUUCAUUCAUUCAAAAGGAAAGGCCUGGGCCAGGCACGGUGGCUGACACCUGUAAUCCCAGCACUUUGUGAGGCUGAUGCCAGCAGAUCCUCUGAGCCCAGAAGUUCGGGACCAGCCUGGGCAACAUAGCGAGACCCCACUGUAUAAGGACAAGCCUUACACAGUGUAGUGCUGCUGAAGAGCCACUCUGAUUUGGUAUCUCUUUUGGCAGAGUUGCAGGGAAGGAUUCCCAGGAGUGGGGAUGGUAAUCCCACCCUCUCCAUUGUCUCUGCCUAUCCUCAGGGACACUGUUUCUACAAAACAUACAAAAAUUAGCAGGGUGUGGUGGCACACGCCUGUAGUCCCAGCUACUUGAGAGGCUGAGGCAGGAAGAUCGAUUGAGCCCGGGGGGUCGAGGUUGCAGUGAGCCAUGAUCGCACCACUGCACUCCAGCCUGGUCAACAGAGCAAGACCCUGUCUCAGACAAACAAACAAACAAAUAAAUAA